rnacentral:rRNA from 1 species
GACGAACGCUGGCGGCGUGCUUAACACAUGCAAGUCGAACGGAAAGGGCCAGCUUUUGCGGGGUGCUCGAGUGGCGAACGGGUGAGUAACACGUGAGUAACCUGCCCUUGACUUUGGGAUAACUUCAGGAAACUGGUGCUAAUACCGGAUAGGAGCUCCUGCUGCAUGGUGGGGGUUGGAAAGCUCCGGCGGUUGUGGAUGGACUCGGGGCUUACCAGCUUGUUGGUGGGGUAGUGGCUUACGGAGGCUUCGACGGCUAGGCGGCCUGAGAGGGUGAUCAGCGACAUUGGGACUGAGAGACGGACCAGACGCCAACGGGAGGCAGCAGUGGGAAAUAUUGCACAGUGGGGGGGAGCCUGUGGCGACAAUGUCGCGUGCGGGAUGACGGCCUUGGGGUGGUAAACCGCAUUCGGCUGAGACGAAGCGGGAGUGACGGUAAUGGGUGAAGAAGCACCGGCUAACUACGUG